UUUAUUAAGAAUGGUGGAGGGACUGGCCCUAUGAAACCUAGCAACCUACUAGAUAAGGUAUUUAUCCUUUAAAUAGUGUGGUGCUAAAUCCUGCAAGCUUUGGCUUGAUAAAUAAGG
rnacentral:ncRNA from 1 species